AGCCUGUCCAGGGCCAGCACUGGGGACCCAGCUGGACGGCAGACAAGGUGGCUGACCUGUUGGCCAUUUGGAGCCAAGAGGACACACUUGGACAGUUCAAAGUUGCCCACCCUACUUCAGCCACAAGGAUACUCUUCCUUAUCGUGCAUGUGGCACGAGGCCAGCAUAAGCACUAGUACUUGGAUGCCUAUAUUCAUUGUUUAAACAAUCUGAUCACAGCUGGGUCAACUAACAGAGCACUUCAAGUUUCUGCCAAGGUUUUCCAACCCAGGUCAUUUCUAGCUCAGUCAACCAACCCCCCCACACACGCACACAUUUCUGAAGCUACAAGAAAACAGCUGGUUGGUUACACUGUAACAUGCAAUUCCACACUAUUAAAUCAAGCUGAAUGCUAACAAAGGCAAGACUAAAAGAUGCCAUUAAAGCUUUUAGUGGCAAAUCAAGAAACUGAUCUCCAACAUUGGAUUUAAUUUACAAGAGCCAGCAACCUUCUGCAAGCCAAGGGCCAGAACAACGCACCUCCAGUCCAACACGGGCCAAGUGAGUCUAUCACCAUCCUGCAUCUACCAAGUACACUGCUGAAAUGGCACACCUGGAUUUCCUCAAGUAUGGAAUAAAUAAGCUAUUGCCAUU